UUCGGAUUCCUGACAAAGAAUGGGUCUAGUCCACGAACUCCCUUUGGGUACCUUGCUCUGCCAUGCUCGAAUGACUGACUCUGCGUUUCUUUGUGUGCACGUGAGCUGUCACUUCUCUGCCACGUUGUGAGCCGCCUACUGAAAAUCUCCUUGCAGACUGGUACCAGCCUACAGAUGUACCAUUAGGAAGCUGUUCUCUUCAAGAGCAGGCUUGGAAGCUAGAGAGGACUGAGAUUGCAGCUGUGGUCUGAAGGACUGUGUGUGACUGGGGGAGCCAGAGAGACCUGGAUCUAUCAGUCAGGGUUUUCUAGAGAAGCAGAACCAAUAAGAAGGAAAGAACAAGAGUUACGAUGAGGAGUUAGCUCACAUGUUUAUGGAGGCUGAUAAGUCCCGAGAUCUGCAGGGUGAGUCGGGGAGCUGGGGGUCCGGGAGAGCCGAUGGCGCAGUGCAGCGAGGUGCUACGGACCCUGGCAGACCGGUAUGGAUGAUAUUCUUUGCCAACUGCCUUUGGACAACCUCAGAUUUCACCAUGGUCAGCAAAGAGAGUUACCUCUGACUUCAGUUUGGAAUUUUUUUUUUUUUCCCCCACAGGGAAUUCUUUGCAGAGUUCCAAACUGCUGUUGAUUACUGUCAAUAAAAUUUAUUGAGUGCCUUCCCAUGU